rnacentral:rRNA from 1 species
CGCAUCUGUGCAUGCAGCAUAUCAAUAAGCGGAGGAAAAGAAACUAGCAAGGAUUCCCCUAGUAACGGCGAGUGAAGCGGGAAGAGCUCAAAUUUGAAAUCUUAAAGGGUUUCCCUUUACGAAUUGUAGUUUAAAGAAGUGUUUUCUGUUGAGGUUUUGGUAAAAGUUCUUUGGAAUAGGACAUCAUAGAGGGUGAGAAUCCCGUAUUCGACCUUUACUUUCAACUUUGUGAUACACUUUCAAAGAGUCGGAUUGUUUGGGAAUGCAGUCCAAAAUGGGUGGUAAAUUUCAUCUAAAGCUAAAUAUUGGCGAGAGACCGAUAGCGAACAAGUACCGUGAGGGAAAGAUGAAAAGAACUUUGAAAAGAGAGUUAAACAGUACGUGAAAUUGUCAAAAGGGAAGCGUUUGACACCAGUGUUGUUUUUCUGAAAAUCAAUUAAAGAACUGUUUAUGCUAAGCUGUUUAGACUUUAUCAGCUAUCUGUUUAGUUUUGAGCUUUUCUUUAAUGCACUUUUCAGUUAACAAGUCAACAUCAAUUUCUUUUGCUGUAAAAAAGCUUGAGGAAGGUGGCUUGAGAUUCGUCUUAAGUGUUUAUAGCCUCUUGCCUAUGCAGUCGGAGAGAUUGAGGUCUGCAGCGUAGAUCCUUCGGGGCUAAAUGCAUUUGUGCUAAGUUAUAGCAUUUUAUAGACAACUUGUUGAUUAUGAUUUGUCUUGUAGCUUACUCGCUUAUGUUAUUUUACCUACGCUUAGGAUGUUGAGUCGUAGAGCACGCAG